rnacentral:rRNA from 1 species
GAUGAACGCUGGCGGCGUGCCUAAUACAUGCAAGUAGAACGCUGAAGGAAGGAGCUUGCUCUUUCCGGAUGAGUUGCGAACGGGUGAGUAACGCGUAGGUAACCUGCCUGGUAGCGGGGGAUAACUAUUGGAAACGAUAGCUAAUACCGCAUAACAGUAGAUGUUGCAUGAUAUCUACUUAAAAGGUGCAAUUGCACCACUACCAGACGGACCUGCGUUGUAUUAGCUAGUUGGUGAGGUAACGGCUCACCAAGGCGACGAUACAUAGCCGACCUGAGAGGGUGAUCGGCCACACUGGGACUGAGACACGGCCCAGACUCCUACGGGAGGCAGCAGUAGGGAAUCUUCGGCAAUGGACGGAAGUCUGACCGAGCAACGCCGCGUGAGUGAAGAAGGUUUUCGGAUCGUAAAGCUCUGUUGUAAGAGAAGAACGAGUGUGAGAGUGGAAAGUUCACACUGUGACGGUAUCUUACCAGAAAGGGACGGCUAACUACGUG